rnacentral:rRNA from 1 species
AGCGAACGCUGGCGGCAGGCUUAACACAUGCAAGUCGAGCGGGCAUCCUUGUGGUGUCAGCGGCAGACGGGUGAGUAACGCGUGGGAACGUGCCCUUCGGUUCGGAAUAACUCAGGGAAACUUGAGCUAAUACCGGAUACGUGCGAGAGCAGAAAGGUUUAUCUGCCGAAGGAUCGGCCCGCGUCUGAUUAGCUAGUUGGUGAGGUUACGGCUCACCAAGGCGACGAUCAGUAGCUGGUCUGAGAGGAAGAUCAGCCACACUGGGACUGAGACACGGCCCAGACUCCUACGGGAGGCAGCAGUGGGGAAUAUUGGACAAUGGGGGCAACCCUGAUCCAGCCAUGCCGCGUGAGUGAUGACGGCCUUAGGGUUGUAAAGCUCUUUUCUCCGGGACGAUAAUGACGGUACCGGAGGAAUAAGCCCCGGCUAACUUCGUG